rnacentral:rRNA from 1 species
UACAGAGGUCUCAAGCGUUGUUCGGAUUCAUUGGGCGUAAAGGGUGCGUAGGCGGCUUGAUAAGUCAGUGGUGAAAGCCGAUCGCUUAACGAUCGAACUGCCAUUGAUACUGCCAGGCUUGAGUAUAGUUGAGGUAGGCGGAAUUGACAGUGUAGCGGUGAAAUGCAUAGAUAUUGUCAAGAACACCAAUUGCGAAGGCAGCUUACUAAAGUAUAACUGACGCUGAGGCACGAAAAGUGCGGGGGAUCAAAACAGG